rnacentral:rRNA from 1 species
AGGACGAACGCUGGCGGCGUGCUUAACACAUGCAAGUCGAACGGUAAGGCCUUUCGGGGUACACGAGUGGCGAACGGGUGAGUAACACGUGGGUGAUCUGCCCUGCACUUUGGGAUAAGCCUGGGAAACUGGGUCUAAUACCGAAUAUGACCAUGGGAUGCAUGUCUUGUGGUGGAAAGCUUUUGCGGUGUGGGAUGGGCCCGCGGCCUAUCAGCUUGUUGGUGGGGUGAUGGCCUACCAAGGCGACGACGGGUAGCCGGCCUGAGAGGGUGUCCGGCCACACUGGGACUGAGAUACGGCCCAGACUCCUACGGGAGGCAGCAGUGGGGAAUAUUGCACAAUGGGCGCAAGCCUGAUGCAGCGACGCCGCGUGAGGACGACGGCCUUCGGGUUGUAAACCUCUUUCAGCACAGACGAAGCGCAAGUGACGGUAUGUGCAGAAGAAGCACCGGCCAACUACGUGCCAGCAGCCGCGGU